UGAGACUGUGGGGGAUAAGCUUCAUAGUCGAGAGGGAAACAGCCCAGAUCGCCGGCUAAGGCCCCUAAGCGUGUACUAAGUGGAAAAGGAUGUGGGAUCGCUUAGACAACCAGGAGGUUGGCUCAGAAGCAGCCACCCUUGAAAGAGUGCGUAAUAGCUCACUGGUCAAGUGGUCCUGCGCCGACAAUGUAGUGGGGCUCAAGUACACCGCCGAAGCCGCGGCAUUCCUUUUUGGGAUGGGUAGGGGAGCGUCGUGUAUCCGUUGAAGCUGCAGAGUGAUCUAGUGGUGGAGGGUAUGCGAGUGAGAAUGCAGGCAUGAGUAGCGAAUGACAUGUGGGAAACAUGUCCUCCGGAUGACCAAGGGUUCCUGGGCUAGGCUAAUCCUCCCAGGGUGAGUCGGGUCCUAAGGCAAGGCCGACAGGCGUAGUCGAUGGAUAACGGGUUGAUAUUCCCGUACCCGUAUAAGCGCGCCCAUGGUGAAUCAGUGAUACUAACUGUCCAGAAGCUGCUGUUUUCUCUUUUUAAGGAGAUGGUUGUGGAUGCACAGGACCUGAUCUGGUAGUAGCCAAGCGAUGGGGUGACGCAGGAAGGUAGCUGUGCCAGGUAGUGGAUUGCCUGGUGUAAGCGUGUAGGGUGACAGGUUGGUAAAUCCGCUUGUUGUGUACCUGAGACGUGAUGCGUAGCCAUUGUGGUGAAGUUAGUGAUCCUAUGCUGCCGAGAAAAGCCUCUAGUGAGUUCUUAUGCGGCCCGUACCCUAAACCGACACAGGUGGUCAGGUAGAGAAUACUAAGGAGUUCGAGAGAACUGUGGUUAAGGAAUUCGGCAAAAUGCCCCCGUAACUUUGGAAGAAGGGGGACCGAUGUUGGUGAGCACUUUUUCGGUGUGAGCUGGUGUUGGUCGCAGAGACCAGAGAGAAGCGACUGUUUACCAAAAACACAGGUCCGUGCGAAGACGUAAGUCGAUGUAUACGGACUGACGCCUGCCCGGUGCUGGAAGGUUAAGAGGACUGGUUAGUGGCCCUUGUGGCUGCGAAGCUGAGAAUUUAAGCCCCAGUAAACGGCGGUGGUAACUAUAACCAUCCUAAGGUAGCGAAAUUCCUUGUCGGGUAAGUUCCGACCUGCACGAAUGGCGUAACGACUUCUCUGCUGUCUCGACCACAGGCCCGGUGAAAUUGCAUUACGAGUAAAGAUGCUCGUUACGCGCGGCAGGACGAAAAGACCCCGGGACCUUCACUAUAGCUUGGUAUUGGUGUUUGGUUCGGUUUGUGUAGGAUAGGUGGGAGACUGUGAAACCGUCACGCUAGUGGUGGUGGAGUCGUUGUUGAAAUACCACUCUGAUCGGAUUGAGCAUCUAACCUUGGCCCAUGAUCUGGGUUGGGGACAGUGCCUGGUGGGUAGUUUAACUGGGGCGGUUGCCUCCCAAAAUGUAACGGAGGCGCCCAAAGGUUCCCUCAGCCUGGUUGGCAAUCAGGUGGUGAGUGUAAGUGCACAAGGGAGCUUGACUGUGAGACAGACAUGUCGAGCAGGGACGAAAGUCGGGACUAGUGAUCCGGCACCUACUUGUGGAUGUGGUGUCGCUCAACGGAUAAAAGGUACCCCGGGGAUAACAGGCUGAUCUUCCCCAAGAGUCCAUAUCGACGGGAUGGUUUGGCACCUCGAUGUCGGCUCGUCGCAUCCUGGGGCUGGAGUCGGUCCCAAGGGUUGGGCUGUUCGCCCAUUAAAGCGGCACGCGAGCUGGGUUCAGAACGUCGUGAGACAGUUCGGUCUCUAUCCGCCGCGCGCGUUGAAACUUGAAGAAAGCUGUCCCUAGUACGAGAGGACCGGGACGGACGUACCUCUAGUGUGCCAGUUAUCCCGCCAGGGGUAUCGCUGGUUGGCUACGUACGGAAGGGAUAACCGCUGAAAGCAUCUAAGCGGGAAGCCUGUUUUAAGAUGAGGUUUCUUUUGAGGUCCCCUAAAGACUAUGGGGUAGAUAGGCCAGACUUGGAAGCACUGUAAGGUGUGAAGGCUACUGGUACUAAUUGACCAAAACAAACACACC
rnacentral:rRNA from 1 species